rnacentral:rRNA from 1 species
AGGGCGUACGGGGGAUGCCUAGGUACAUGGAGUCGAGGAAGGACGUGGUAAGCUGCGAUAAGCCUCGGGUAAGUGCAAACAACUUUAGAUCCGAGGAUUUCCGAAUGGGGCUACCCGGCCCGCGGUUAUAUUGGUGUCACUGCACAACCUGAAUACAUUGGGUGGACAGAUCUUACUGAGUGGACUGACACAUCUAAGUAACUCCAGGAAAAGAAAUCAAAAGAGAUUCCCUCAGUAGCGGCGAGCGAACGGGGAAGAGCCUAAACCACUAACGUGCCAAGCCUGUAAGUGUUGCGCUAGUGGUGUAGUGGGAUCAUUUUAGAACUGGUUACAGACGGUUCGACAAGUUAUAAAAUCGAUGAUUAAUCGAAUGGGAUGGAAAGCCCAGCCAUAGAAGGUGAUAGCCCUGUAUAUGAAAAUCAAAGAUCUUGUUGGAAAUGACACCCGAGUAACGCGGGACACGAGAAAUCUUGCGUGAAUCUGCCAGGACCAUCUGGUAAGGCUAAAUACUCCCAUGUAACCGAUAGCGAACUAGUACCGUGAGGGAAAGGUGAAAAGUACUCCUAACGGAGAGUGAAAUAGAACCUGAAACCGUAUGCCUACAAGCGGUCGGAGCUCCGCCUUGUGCGGGGUGACGGCGUGCCUUUUGCAUAAUGAGCCAGCGAGUUGCUCGUAUGUUGCAAGGUUAAGGCCAAAAAGCCGGAGCCGUAGCGAAAGCGAGUCUGAAUAGGGCGUUUAGUAACAUGCGGCAGACCCGAAACCGAGUGAUCUAGCCAUGGCCAGGUUGAAGGUGCGGUAACACGCACUGGAGGACCGAACCCACCAGCGUUGAAAAGCUGGGGGAUGAGCUGUGGUUAGGGGUGAAAGGCCAAUCAAACUCGGAGAUAUCUGGUUCUCACCGAAAUGCCUUUAGGGGCAGCGUCACAUUAUAGUGUAUCGGGGGUAGAGCACUGAAUGGGCUAGGGGGCCUACAAGCUUACCGACCCCAAUCAAACUCCGAAUACCGAAUACAUGUUAUGUGGCAGUGAGGCUGCGGGGGAUAAGCUCCGUAGCCAAGAGGGAAACAACCCAGAUCAUCAGCUAAGGUCCCUAAGUCGAUGCUAAGUGACAAAGGAUGUUAAAUCGCCCAGACAGCUAGGAGGUUGGCUUAGAAGCAGCCAUCCUUUAAAGAAAGCGUAAUAGCUCACUAGUCAAGGGGUUUUGCGCCUAUAAUACCCGGGACUAAGCAUCGCACCGAAGCUAUGGAUUUCAAUAGAUUGCUAUUGGAAUGGUAGGUGAGCGUUCUAUUAACCUGUGAAGGUUGACCCGUGAGGGCAGCUGGAGGAGAUGGAAAUGAGUAUGCUGGCAUGAGUAGCGAUAAACACGGUGAAAUACCGUGUCGCCGAAAGUCCAAGGUUUCCUGAGUAAAGUAACUCUGCUCAGGGUUAGUCGGACCCUAAGCCGAGGCCGAAAGGCGUAGGCGAUGGAAAACGGGUUUAAUAUUCCCGUACCAGUCCGUAAUCGUUAUAACUAUGGGGGGACGCAGAAGUGAAAGGUCAGCCCGGUUUUGAUUGUCCGGGUUUAAGUGUGUAGGGGGGUCCGAUUGGUAAAUCCGUCGGAUUAUUAACUCUGAGACACGAAUAGGAGGGCCUAGCCCGUAAACUGACCAUAAUCCUGCUGCCAAGAAAAGCCUCUAUGUGAGAUUAUGAACUGACCGUACCCUAAACGGACACACGUGGACGAGGAGAGUAUCCUAAGGCGCUUGAGAGAAUCCAGGUUAAGGAACUCGGCAAAUUAACCCCGUAACUUCGGGAGAAGGGGUGCCUUGAUUAGGUAAACACCUUCGCGGUGGAAACUGAAAGAGGCCGCAGUGACCAGGCCCAAACGACUGUUUACUAAAAACACAGGUCUCUGCUAAAUCGUAAGAUGAAAUAUAGGGACUGACACCUGCCCGGUGCCGGAAGGUUAAAUGGAAGGGUUAGCUUCGGCAAAGCUCUGAAAUGAAGCCCCGGUAAACGGCGGCCGUAACUAUAACGGUCCUAAGGUAGCGAAAUUCCUUGUCGGGUAAGUUCCGACCUGCACGAAUGGUGCAACGAUUUGGGCACUGUCUCAACCUGGAGCUCAGCGAAAUUGAAGUGUCGGUGAAGAUACCGGCUACCCGCGGCAGGACGAAAAGACCCCGUGAACCUUUACUACAACUUAGCAUUGGAUUUUGGUUAUGCAUGUGCAGGAUAGGUGGGAGGCUUUGAAGCUUGGACGCUAGUUCGAGUGGAGCCAACCUUGAAAUACCACCCUUGUAUUGCGGAAGUUCUAAUCCCGACCCGUGAAUCCGGGCGAGAGACAGUACUAGGUGGGUAGUUUGACUGGGGCGGUCUCCUCCUAAAAGGUAACGGAGGAACCCAAAGGUUCCCUCAGCACGGUCGGUAAUCGUGCGAAGAGCGCAAAGGCAUAAGGGAGCUUGACUGCGAGGCUGACGGGCCGAGCAGGUACGAAAGUAGGGCUUAGUGAUCUGGUGGUUCCGUAUGGAAGGGCCAUCACUCAAUGGAUAAAAGGUACUCCGGGGAUAACAGGCUUAUCUCCCCCAAGAGUUCACAUCGACGGGGAGGUUUGGCACCUCGAUGUCGGCUCAUCACAUCCUGGGGCUGGAGAAGGUCCCAAGGGUUGGGCUGUUCGCCCAUUAAAGUGGUACGUGAGCUGGGUUUAGAACGUCGUGAGACAGUUCGGUCUCUAUCCGCCGUGGGCACAGGAGAUUUGAGGGAAUCUGCUUCUAGUACGAGAGGACCGAAGUGGACGAACCUCUAGUGUACCAGUUGUCAUAUCAAUGGCACCGCUGGGUAGCUAUGUUCGGAAAGGAUAAGCGCUGAAAGCAUAUAAGCGCGAAACCUGACCCAAGAUAAGAUCUCCCUACCGUAAGGUAAUAAGGCUCGUUGUAGACUACAACGUUGAUAGGCUGCAGGUGUAAGUGUGGUAACACAUUCAGCCGAGCAGUACUAAUAUGCCGAAUGACUUUAUC